GGCAGCAGGAGCGGGGCUUCCAGCGGCGUCGGAGGGGUUCAGGCGCACUCGCCUCAUCUCCCACGUUCAGCUUCCCCCGGCCCACCGAGGGGCGGGCAGGAGCCCCGUGCCCUCCCCGGGGCCUGUCCUUGCAGCCCUGCGCUUGUCCGGCAAAGCUUCCUGAGAGAAAGUUACGGAGAGCGCGGGGGGGGGGGGGGGGUCUGGCCCCCCUGCCUGGCUCGGAGAGGCACCGCCAAGCGUGCACCCGGCAUUUCUCGCAGGCGCGCGUGUGUUCAGCCUUGUGCCGGUAAACAGGCUCUACAACGAAGUCCUGCUCCCCCUGGGUCUCUUCCCCCAGUGCCUCUGGCUGCCUCCUUGUUGCUGCCAGUGACUUUUUGGAGGAAAACCUCCCCACAUUUAUUUUCAGAGCAAUUAUGCCUACCCGCCGAAAACCUGCGAGAAACACCUGCGACUCCUGAGCUCCUCAAACUUGACAGGCUGGAGAAUGAAGAGGGAAAGCUUUCCCCCACCCGCGCAAGUUAUUGAAAAACAUGCACCAUCAGGGACGAUCCUUCCUUUUCUGUGUCCUUGUGAUAAGAUGAACUGCCUGCUUCCCCUCAACACCCAGCUCAGUCAAGUGGAUAGAAGCCACAUCCAAGGCACCAGGAAUAAGCCAUUGCUUGCGUCUUGCCCUUCUGGCUCCAGUGAAUUGCCAACACAUGGAAAGGAUAAUACCCAACUUUGUUCCUCCUGCAAGCCUGACCAAAGGAAGGAGGAACAAACAUGCUUAGGCAUGCUGACAGACUUGAGGCUGCUGUUCAGUGCCCUAGUUGGCAGCAUUGUUUGGACAGUACAAGAAGGGAAGAGAGAGAGCCAACAGGUGGAGAUAUGAAUGCUACAGCCAUCCUCUAAUGGUCUUUGCAGCUUUGUUUGCUUGUUCCUCCACAGUGAUUAUGGCAUAUAAACAGAUACAAUCAAGCCCACACCCCAUGUGCUAUGGUAGGUGACUUCCUUUAACUAGUGGUUGCUGCACUGACUGUUCAGCAAUACAGCAGGUCUUUCUGACCCAUGUCAGCAAGUCAGUUAUACAUGGGCAUAAUCUCAUCCCUAUUUCACAAAAUACUUAAGUGCUUGCUUAAGUUUAAGCAUACACUUAAAUCUCAUUAACCUCAAUGGGAUUGAAACAGGCGCUUAAUUACUUCACUGCGUAGGGGCUAGGAUUGUCCUCAUGAAUGAAGUCAAACACAGGCCUCGAUUGGAAACCCACACAAGUUGCUCUAUAAGAAACUACUGCAAUCAUCAGGAAGUGAGUUGAGUGUAUUCCCUCAAGAAUAACAGGCAUUUGAAGUACAAGAGGCUCUAGACUAGGGGAGGGCAAUUAUUUUGGGAAGAGGGCCGCUUACUGAGUUUUGGCAAGCCAUCGAGGGCCGCAUGAUAGGCAGCCAGGAGCAGAUAAAAACUAAUUUUCUGAACUUUUUAGGGGCCCCGCAGGCCAGAUAGAACGGCCUGGCGGGCCACAUCCAGCCCCUGGGCCACAUUUUGCCCACCCCUGCUCUAGACAGAGAAGUUUACACAUCUGAAAUGCAUGUUUGGCAUGCAAGGCUCUGCUGCCAAACAAAAAAAGUCUUCACAAGAGCUCCCCCUGGCUACUGGAUGGGAAAAAAAAAAAAG